GACGAACGCUGGCGGCGCGCCUCAUACAUGCAAGUCGAACGAAAACUCGGAGCUUGCUCCGGGUGGACAGUGGCGAACGGGUGAGUAACACGUGAGAAACCUGCCCCGAAGACCGGGACAACACCGGGAAACCGGUGCUAAUACCGGAUGUCCUUACCGGACCGCAUGAUCUGGUAAGGAAAUGGAUUCCGCUUCGGGAUGGUCUCGCGGCCUAUCAGCUUGUUGGCGGGGUAAUGGCCCACAAGGCUACGACGGUAGCUGGUCUGAGAGGAUGUCCAGCCACACUGGGACUGAGACACGGCCCAGACUCCGUACGGGAGGCAGC
rnacentral:rRNA from 1 species